rnacentral:rRNA from 1 species
AACGAACGCUGGCGGCAGGCCUAACACAUGCAAGUCGAGCGCCCCGCAAGGGGAGCGGCGGACGGGUGAGUAACGCGUGGGGACGUACCCUUUGCUACGGAAUAGCCUCGGGAAACUGGGAGUAAUACCGUAUGUGUCCUUCGGGAGAAAGAUUUAUCGGCAAGGGAUCGGCCCGCGUUGGAUUAGGUAGUUGGUGGGGUAAUGGCCUACCAAGCCGACGAUCCAUAGCUGGUUUGAGAGGAUGAUCAGCCACACUGGGACUGAGACACGGCCCAGACUCCUACGGGAGGCAGCAGUGGGGAAUCUUAGACAAUGGGCGCAAGCCUGAUCGAGCCAUGCCGCGUGAGCGAUGAAGGCCUUAGGGUUGUAAAGCUCUUUCAGGGGGGAAGAUAAUGACUGUACCCCCAGAAGAAGCCCCGGCUAACUCCGUG